rnacentral:rRNA from 1 species
GAUGAACGCUGGCGGCGUGCUUAACACAUGCAAGUCGAACGGGAAUUACUUUAUUGAAACUUCGGUCGAUAUGAUUUAAUUCUAGUGGCGGACGGGUGAGUAACGCGUGGGUAACCUGCCUUAUACAGGGGGAUAACAGUCAGAAAUGACUGCUAAUACCGCAUAAGCGCACAGAGCUGCAUGGCUCGGUGUGAAAAACUCCGGUGGUAUAAGAUGGACCCGCGUUGGAUUAGCUAGUUGGUGAGGUAACGGCCCACCAAGGCGACGAUCCAUAGCCGGCCUGAGAGGGUGAACGGCCACAUUGGGACUGAGACACGGCCCAGACUCCUACGGGAGGCAGCAGUGGGGAAUAUUGCACAAUGGGGGAAACCCUGAUGCAGCGACGCCGCGUGAAGGAAGAAGUAUCUCGGUAUGUAAACUUCUAUCAGCAGGGAAGA